rnacentral:rRNA from 1 species
AUUGAACGCUGGCGGCAUGCUUUACACAUGCAAGUCGAACGGCAGCACGGGCUUCGGCCUGGUGGCGAGUGGCGAACGGGUGAGUAAUAUAUCGGAACGUACCCAGAAGUGGGGGAUAACGUAGCGAAAGUUACGCUAAUACCGCAUACGAUCUAUGGAUGGAAGCAGGGGACCGCAAGGCCUUGUGCUCCUGGAGCGGCCGAUAUCUGAUUAGCUAGUUGGUGAGGUAAAGGCUCACCAAGGCGACGAUCAGUAGCUGGUCUGAGAGGACGACCAGCCACACUGGAACUGAGACACGGUCCAGACUCCUACGGGAGGCAGCAGUGGGGAAUUUUGGACAAUGGGCGCAAGCCUGAUCCAGCAAUGCCGCGUGAGUGAAGAAGGCCUUCGGGUUGUAAAGCUCUUUUGUCAGGGAAGAAACGGUAGAGGCUAAUAUCCUUUGCUAAUGACGGUACCUGAAGAAUAAGCACCGGCUAACUACGUG